rnacentral:lncRNA from 1 species
CGGCCACCCACUCCAGGCUGCGCCCAGCCCCCUCCCCAUCGCUCACCGGCGCCCUUGCCCAGCAAGGACGGCACUGCCCUCCCCGAAGUGGCCCAGGCUCUGGUGUCAUCUGUAAAUCGGGGUCACAGCCUUCUCCUCGCUGGCUGGAGGGAUGCCACGAAUGCCCUGCCCCGCACGUCACUGGGCGAGAGCCUCAGGCUGGGACGACCAGCUCCCCCCGCCCCGCGGCUUCCAGAACCGUGGGCCCUGGUAUCUGUGGAGAAGCCUGGGAAGAGGCUUCAGUCCAGGAGCAUUAAUGGAGCUCCAGCUGCAUACGGGAACCUCCCCAGCCAGCCCUCAGGCCGCAGACGGACUGGAAGGGCUCCCCGCUGCCGUGCUGUGAUCACCUAUCCUGCCUGCCCUCUCCUGUGGCCUUAGACCAGGCCCCUAGGCGUGUCAGGUGGGGAUGACUGUCAGGGCCGCCCCAUGGGAUGUAAGGACUCACAAGGUCACACACGCCAAGCUGAGCUGGGCCUGCUGUCGCAACAGGAGCACCGUGCCCCAUUCAAACAAGCAGAAUGGCAUCAGCCCACCCGACCCAGCGGCCGCCCCAGAGCACAGACACCAGCUCCCCCGCCGCUUCCCUGGGAUGCUGGGCUCUCUGCCCCGGGUGUGAGAUUAAUUAGUCCUCGCCAGGCGAUAUCUGACCUACAUCGGCGCCUCUGUAAGACGCAGAGCCAGAAGAAAGCAGCACCCGGCUAUAUAAAGACAAGCAAUCUAUUUUAAAAGAGGUCUGUGUGCGGAG